AUGAACGCUGGCGGCGUGCCUAAUACAUGCAAGUCGAGCGAACGGACGAGAAGCUUGCUUCUCUGAUGUUAGCGGCGGACGGGUGAGUAACACGUGGAUAACCUACCUAUAAGACUGGGAUACUUCGGGAAACCGGAGCUAAUACCGGAUAAUAUUUUGAACCGCAUGGUUCAAAAGUGAAAGACGGUCUUGCUGUCACUUAUAGAUGGAUCCGCGCUGCAUUAGCUAGUUGGUAAGGUAACGGCUUACCAAGGCAACGAUGCAUAGCCGACCUGAGAGGGUGAUCGGCCACACUGGAACUGAGACACGGUCCAGACUCCUACGGGAGGCAGCAGUAGGGAAUCUUCCGCAAUGGGCGAAAGCCUGACGGAGCAACGCCGCGUGAGUGAUGAAGGUCUUCGGAUCGUAAAACUCUGUUAUUAGGGAAGAACAUAUGUGUAAGUAACUGUGCACAUCUUGACGGUACCUAAUCAGAAAGCCACGGCUAACUACGUG
rnacentral:rRNA from 1 species